rnacentral:rRNA from 1 species
UGCAAGUCGAGCGCACUGGCCCAACUGAUAUGACGUGCUUGCACUGAUUUGACGAUGGAUUACCAGUGAGCGGCGGACGGGUGAGUAACACGUGGGCAACCUACCCUAAAGCGGGGGAUAACAUUUGGAAACAGGUGCUAAUACCGUAUAACUACGAAAACCACAUGGUUUUCGUAUCAAAGAUGGUUUCGGCUAUCACUUUAGGAUGGGCCCGCGGUGCAUUAGCUAGUUGGUAGGGUAACGGCCUACCAAGGCAAUGAUGCAUAGCCGAGUUGAGAGACUGAUCGGCCACAAUGGAACUGAGACACGGUCCAAACUCCUACGGGAGGCAGCAGUAGGGAAUCUUCCACAAUGGACGCAAGUCUGAUGGAGCAACGCCGCGUGAGUGAAGAAGGUUUUCGGAUCGUAAAGCUCUGUUGUUGGUGAAGAAGGAUAGAGGUAGUAACUGGCCUUUAUUUGACGGUAAUCAACCAGAAAGUCACGGCUAACUAC